ensembl:lncRNA
GUUUAUUGACAGCAAGCUGGAGAAGUUCCAACCAAAUCAAUGCACCAUAGUACACAUGUCAAUCAGGAGCUCUCCUGGGGCAGUCCCAGCAGUUUUCUUAUAUACAGCUAUACACAGACAAAUUAUAUGUGCAUGAUUUAGCAUAAUUAAUUCAUCAUUACCGUUUUGUUUCAUUCAUGUGAAUGACAAAUGCUGGUUCUUAACAUGUGACAGACCAAUACCUCACGAGGCUUCUUCUCUCUGAGCUGAGACCUUGAAACUGAGAUAUCUUUCGUUCUCAAAACAAGGUCUGGGCGUACUGCCAAAUUGCAGAUACUGAUAGUGAGAAUUGGUUCAGUCAGUCACUUGCAUGAACACAGAAAUUAGUUAUAAGAAAAGCACAAACAUUUCAAUUCCCAUUACAUGUUCUAGAAUGUUGUUACAGGCUUGUCAUAGCAGAGAUGUUCUAGAAUGAUGUUACAGGCUUGUCAUAGCAGAGAUGUUCUAGAAUGUUGUUACAGGCUUGUCAUAGCAGAGAUGUUCUAGAAUGAUGUUACAGGCUUGUCAUAGCAGAGAUGUUCUAGAAUGUUGUUACAGGCUUGUCAUAGCAGAGAUGUUCUAGAAUGUUGUUACAGGCUUGUCAUAGCAGAGAUGUUCUAGAAUGUUGUUACAGGCUUGUCAUAGCAGAGAUGUUCUAGAAUGUUGUUACAGGCUUGUCAUAGCAGAGAUGUUCUAGAAUGAUGUUACAGGCUUGUCAUAGCAGAGAUGUUCUUAGAACGUUGUUACAGGCUUGUCAUAGCAGAGAUGUUCUAGAAUGUUGUUACAGGCUUGUCAUAGCAGAGAUGUUCUAGAAUGAUGUUACAGGCUUGUCAUAGCAGAGAUGUUCUAGAAUGAUGUUACAGGCUUGUCAUAGCAGAGAUGUUCUAGAAUGUUGUUACAGGCUUGUCAUAGCAGAGAUGUUCUAGAAUGAUGUUACAGGCUUGUCAUAGCAGAGAUGUUCUAGAAUGUUGUUACAGGCUUGUCAUAGCAGAGAUGUUCUAGAAUUAUGUUACAGGCUUGUCAUAGCAGAGAUGUUCUAGAAUGAUGUUACAGGCUUGUCAUAGCAGAGAUGUUCUAGAAUGUUGUUACAGGCUUGUCAUAGCAGAGAUGUUCUAGAAUGAUGUUACAGGCUUGUCAUUGCAGAGAUGUUCUAGAAUGUUGUUACAGGCUUGUCAUUGCAGAGAUGUUCUAGAAUGAUGUUACAGGCUUGUCAUUGCAGAGAUGUUCUAGAAUGAUGUUACAGGCUUGUCAUAGCAGAGAUGUUCUAGAAUGUUGUUACAGGCUUGUCAUAGCAGAGAUGUUCUAGAAUGUUGUUACAGCCUUGUCAUAGCAGAGAUGUUCUAGAAUGAUGUUACAGCCUUGUCAUUGCAGAGAUUUCCUAGAAUGUUGUUACGAGCUUUGUGCAUUACCCUGUAGCUCUGAAAUACACUUUCUAAUUGCAUUGUCAGUGGAACAAGUAAAGUUACCUCAAACUGCAGAGAAAGACAACAUAGUUACAUGUACUUUUUGGUCAGUACAGUCAGUUAUAUCAUCAUCACAUAGUUUGUGUUAUCAUGUUUAGCUCAGUUCUUCAGGUUCCACUUAGUCUGUAUUCUCUUGCCCAUUUUAGAGUCAGGAUUCAGGCAGAUAUAUUUUGAUGGUAUUUUCAACUGCACCC